rnacentral:rRNA from 1 species
CCUACGGGAGGCAGCAGUGGGGAAUAUUGCACAAUGGGGGAAACCCUGAUGCAGCGACGCCGCGUGAGUGAAGAAGUAUUUCGGUACGUAAAGCUCUAUCAGCAGGGAAGAAAAUGACGGUACCUGACUAAGAAGCCCCGGCUAACUACGUGCCAGCAGCCGCGGUAAUACGUAGGGGGCAAGCGUUAUCCGGAUUUACUGGGUGUAAAGGGAGCGUAGACGGCAGCGCAAGUCUGGAGUGAAAUCCCAUGGCUUAACCAUGGAACUGCUUGGGAAACUGUGCAGCUAGAGUGCAGGAGAGGUAAGCGGAAUUCCUAGUGUAGCGGUGAAAUGCGUAGAUAUUAGGAGGAACACCAGUGGCGAAGGCGGCUUACUGGACUGUAACUGACGUUGAGGCUCGAAAGCGUGGGGAGCAAACAGGAUUAGAUACCCGAGUAGUC